GUGCUCACUUCAGCAGCACAUAUACUAAAUUGGAAUGAUACAGAGAAGAUUAGCAUGGUCCCUAAAAAAGAAAAAAAGAAUGCAAGACAGUCCAUAGACAUUA